AUUGAACGCUGGCGGCAGGCCUAACACAUGCAAGUCGAGCGAGCGGCGGACGGGUGAGUAAUGUCUGGGAAACUGCCUGAUGGAGGGGGAUAACAACUGGAAACGGUAGCUAAUACCGCAUACCAUCAGAUGUGCCCAGAUGGGAUUAGCGAGUAGGUUGGGUAACGGCUCACCUAGGCGACGAUCCCUAGCUGGUCUGAGAGGAGGACCAGCCAACCUUGAACUGAGACACGGUCCAGACUCCUACGGUAGGCAGCAGUGGGGAAUAUUGCACAAUGGGCGCAAGCCUGAUGCAUCCAUGCCGCGUGUGUGAAGAAGGCCUUCGGGUUGUAAAGCACUUUCAGCGGGGAGGCGUUACCCGCAGAAGAAGCACCGGCUAACUCCGUGCCAGCAGCCGCGGUAAUUC
rnacentral:rRNA from 1 species